rnacentral:rRNA from 1 species
CGUAGAUAUUAGGAGGAACACCAAUGGCGAAGGCAGGUUACUGGGCCAUUUCUGACACUGAGGCUCGAAAGCGUGGGGAGCAAACCGGAUUAGAUACCCGGGUAGUCCACGCCGUAAACUAUGGAUGCUAGCUGUUAUGGGUAUCGACCCCCGUAGUAGCGAAGCUAACGCGUUAAGCAUCCCGCCUGGGGAGUACGGUCGCAAGAUUAAAACUCAAAGGAAUUGACGGGGACCCGCACAAGCGGUGGAGCGUGUUGUUUAAUUGGAUGAUAAGCCAAGAACCUUACCAAGGUUUGACAUCCCGAGAAUUUCUACGAAAGUAGAGAGUGCUUUUUGAACUCGGUGACAGGUGUUGCAUGGCCGUCGUCAGCUCGUGUCGUGAGAUGUUGGGUUAAGUCCCGCAACGAGCGCAACCCCUAUGAUUAGUUGGAUUUUUCUAGUCAGACUGCCUCGGUAACGGGGAGGAAGGAGGGGACGACGUCAGGUCCGCAUUACCCUUACACCUUGGGCUACAAACGCGCUACAAUGGCCGGUACAAUGGGCAGCUAAGUCGCGAGAUGGAGCAAAUCCCACCAAAGCCGGUCCCAGUUCGGAUAGCAGGCUGAAACUCGCCUGCUUGAAGUCGGAAUCGCUAGUAAUCGUAGGUCAGAACACUACGGUGAAUACGUUCCCGGGUCUUGUACACACCGCCCGUCAUACCAUGGAAGCCGCCAACACCCGAAGUACAACAUUUGUUGUCCUAAGGUGGGGGAGGUGACUGGGGUAAAGUCGUAACAAGGU